UAGGGAAUCUUCGGCAAUGGGGGGAACCCUGACCGAGCAACGCCGCGUGAGUGAAGAAGGUUUUCGGAUCGUAAAGCUCUGUUGUUAAGGAAGAACGAGUGUGAGAAUGGAAAGUUCAUACUGUGACGGUACUUAACCAGAAAGGGACGGCUAACUACGUGCCAGCAGCCGCGGUAAUACGUAGGUGGCAAGCGUUGUCCGGAUUUAUUGGGCGUAAAGCGAGCGCAGGCGGUCAAUUAAGUCUGAUGUGAAAGCCCCCGGCUCAACCGGGGAGGGUCAUUGGAAACUGGUUGACUUGAGUGCAGAAGAGGAGAGUGGAAUUCUAUGUGUAGCGGUGAAAUGCGUAGAUAUAUGGAGGAACACCAGUGGCGAAGGCGACUCUCUGGUCUGUAACUGACGCUGAGGUUCGAAAGCGUGGGUAGCAAACAGG
rnacentral:rRNA from 1 species